AAUGAACGCUGGCGGCAGGCCUAACACAUGCAAGUCGAACGGAUCCUUCGGGAUUAGUGGCGGACAGGUGAGUAACGCGUGGGAACAUACCCAAAGGUACGGAAUAGCCUCGGGAAACUGGGAGUAAUACCGUAUGUGCUCGAAAGAGGAAAGAUUUAUCGCCUUUGGAUUGGCCCGCGUUGGAUUAGGUAGUUGGUGGGGUAAUGGCCUACCAAGCCGACGAUCCAUAGCUGGUUUGAGAGGAUGAUCAGCCACACUGGGACUGAGACACGGCCCAGACUCCUACGGGAGGCAGCAGUGGGGAAUCUUAGACAAUGGGGGAAACCUUGAUCUAGCCAUGCCGCGUGAUCGAUGAAGGCCUUAGGGUUGUAAAGAUCUUUCAGGUGGGAAGAUAAUGACUGUACCACCAGAAGAAGCCCCGGCUAACUCCGUGCCAGCCGCCGCAGUAA
rnacentral:rRNA from 1 species